rnacentral:rRNA from 1 species
UACGUAGGUGGCAAGCGUUGUCCGGAUUUACUGGGCGUAAAGAGCGCGCAGGCGGCCGAGUCAGUCGAAUGUGAAAGCCCCCGGCUCAACUGGGGAGGGUCAUUCGAUACUGCUCGGCUUGAAGAUGGGAGAGGGAAGCGGAAUUUCAGGUGUAGUGGUGAAAUGCGUAGAUAUCUGAAGGAACACCAGUGGCGAAGGCGGCUUUCUGGCCCAUUCUUGACGCUGAGGCGCGAAAGCUAGGGGAGCAAACGGG